GACGAACGCUGGCGGCGUGCUUAACACAUGCAAGUCGAACGGAAAGGCCCUGCUGUUGUGGGGUGCUCGAGUGGCGAACGGGUGAGUAACAAGUGAGUAACCUGCCCUUGACUUUGGGAUAACUUCAGGAAACUGGGGCUAAUACCGGAUAGGAGCUCCUGCUGCAUGGUGUGGGUUGGAAAGUUUCGGCGGUUGGGGCUGGACUCGCGGCUUAUCAGCUUGUUGGGGGGGUGGUGGCUUACCAAGGCUUUGAAGGGUAGCCGGCCUGGGAGGGUGACCGGGCACCAUGGGCCUGAGAGAGGGACCAGACUCCUACGGGAGGCAGCAGGGGGGAACAUUGCACAAUGGGCGGAAGUCUGAUGAAGCAACGCCGCGUGCGGGAUGAAGGCCUUCGGGUUGUAAACCGCUUUCGCCUGUGACGAAGCGUGAGUGACGGUAAUGGGUAAAGAAGCACCGGCUAACUACGUG
rnacentral:rRNA from 1 species